UUAAAUAAUCAAAAUAGUUUUUGCGAACAAAAACUAAGUUAUACAGGUAGGUACAUUUACCACAUACCUGAGGGGUAGCAUUAGAAAAACAGAACGAAAAGUUACAUAAAUUAAAAAUAAAGCUUUUUGUUUUCUUUGGAAACGGAUCAAAAUUGAAUUAAGACGGAUCGGAGGAAGUCCGAAGUCCGACUUCUCAAAAAACAUCUCAUCCCUACAUUGCAAACAUAAAAGUUCGACACUAGAUUUCAGAAAGCUUUUGCGAAAAAGAAAAUUAAAAAAAAGCUUUUUCAAUUUAAUUUUGCUUUCAUAAACUCGCCAAACUCCAAAAGCUAUAAAUUAUAAGUUCCAACUUACCAAUGACUGUAAAUCAGUGAGGUGAAAUAAAUUGCUUUUUCUUUUAAUGGUCUGUCGUUCAUUCAUAACACCGAUUUAAAUGAACAAAAGAAAAAAAAAUCCUUUUGUUCUAUUUGUCGUACAAAGUAAUUCAUGCCCAGUCUAAAAUAAAGUGAAGUUCGUAGAGAAAAAGAAAUGUGGGACAAGCAAGACUAUCCUUUGUUAAACCAAAUAGAAAUUUAAAAGUUCCUCAAGAAUAUGCCAUUUAACCUCCAAGAUCGGAUAUCCAGGUUAAAGAGAUCUGAAAACCAUGACCAAUCGAACCCGGUAUAAAUUAGUAUGAGUUAACGCGAUAUGCACCACAUGAGUUCAACGUUUCUAGUU